GAAAUUAAAUCAAAAGAGAAGAUUAAGAAGCUUGCGGAAGAGAAGAAAAAAAUUUCCGUUAAUCCUAUUACUCACCCGAAAACUUUUUCGGAAAUACUUUCUGCUCUUGAGGAUGUUUCUUCUUUGAAUAACACGAGCGAGUCUAAUACCAAUUUUUUUUAUAAAAUUUCCUCUCGAAAAGGAAGAAAGAACGUUUUUGUUAAAGAACUAAACCGCAUGCUUUUGCUGGCGCAAUCGAAGGCCUUCCAAGAGGAGACUGCCACCGCCGUUCAAUAUUAUAUAGAAAAUACAAUAACUACAACGAAAUUUUCUUGAAC